GCCCGGCUAGCUCAGUCGGUAGAGCUUUGGACUCUUAAUCCAACGGUCGUGGGUUCGAGCCCCACGUUGGGCG
rnacentral:tRNA from 1 species